rnacentral:lncRNA from 1 species
CCGUUCCGCCUUGGAACCUCCGCCCGGGUUUUGAGGCCCAAACCCGCGAAAUCCGCCGCGAGUAGCGUACUCCAUACGCUUUCCCGCCACUCGACACGUGUCACCGCCGUCCUCGACUGGCCGGCCCGCUAAGUCCUCCUGAGCCUCGCUCGACUCGCGUCCGCCGUCUUGACUUGGUCAACACGGUCACUCCCACGUACACUUGCACUUGUCGAUGUUCCAGAUGUCAGCCACUACGGCUGGUCACCCGGCCUCCUGGUCCGUCAGUCCAAGCCUCACGUCCGUCCUUCACCGCUCCAGGUCCAUCAGCACGGCACGUCUCUACUUGACCUUCACCUCGCCGUCGACCACCGCCUCCGAGCUCCACAGCUGAACACCACAAGCCAAGAGACAUGUCGCACACAUAGCUUUCGCCAUGGUAAUGUUAGUCACCAACUCAACCUAUUCGUGGAUCACGUUGACAAUCACUCAUCACAAAACGA